rnacentral:rRNA from 1 species
AGAGUUUGAUCCUGGCUCAGGACGAACGCUGGCGGCGUGCCUAACACAUGCAAGUCGAGCGGAGACAGUGAGUAGCUUGCUAUGAGCUGUUUUAGCGGCGGACGGGUGAGUAACGCGUGAGCAACCUUUCCCAGACAGGGGAAUAACACACCGAAAGGUGUACUAAUACCGCAUAAGACCACGGGAUCACAUGGUUCUGAGGUAAAAGAUUUAUCGGUUUGGGGUGGGCUCGCGUCCGAUUAGGUAGUUGGUGAGGUAACGGCCCACCAAGCCGACGAUCGGUAGCCGACCUGAGAGGGUGAUCGGCCACAUUGGGACUGAGACACGGCCCAAACUCCUACGGGAGGCAGCAGUGGGGAAUAUUGCACAAUGGGGGAAACCCUGAUGCAGCGACGCCGCGUGAGUGAAGAAGUAUUUCGGUAUGUAAAGCUCUAUCAGCAGGGAAGAAAAUGACGGUACCUGACUAAGAAGCCCCGGCUAACUACGUGCCAGCAGCCGCGGUAAUACGUAGGGGGCAAGCGUUGUCCGGAAUAAUUGGGCGUAAAGGGCGCGUAGGCGGCUCGGUAAGUCUGGAGUGAAAGUCCUGCUUUUAAGGUGGGAAUUGCUUUGGAUACUGUCGGGCUUGAGUGCAGGAGAGGUUAGUGGAAUUCCCAGUGUAGCGGUGAAAUGCGUAGAGAUUGGGAGGAACACCAGUGGCGAAGGCGACUAACUGGACUGUAACUGACGCUGAGGCGCGAAAGUGUGGGGAGCAAACAGGAUUAGAUACCCUGGUAGUCCACACUGUAAACGAUGAAUGCUAGGUGUAGGGGGUAUCGACCCCUUCUGUGCCGCAGUCAACACAAUAAGCAUUCCGCCUGGGGAGUACGGCCGCAAGGUUGAAACUCAAAGGAAUUGACGGGGGCCCG